AACCUGGUUGAUCCUGCCAGUAGUCAUAUGCUUGUCUCAAAGACUAAGCCAUGCAUGUCUAAGUAUAAAUGGUAUACAGUAAAACUGCGAAUGGCUCAUUAAAACAGUUAUAGUUUAUUUGGUAAUCGGAUUUACAUGGAUAACCGUGGUAAUUCUAGAGCUAAUACAUGCUGUAAAGCCCGACUUCUCGGAAGGGCCGUGUUUAUUAGAUAACAGACCAACAGCUUCGGCUAUUGUGGUGAAUCAUAGUAACUAAUCGGAUCGCAUGGGCUAGUCCCGCGACAAACCAUUCAAGUUUCUGCCCCAUCAGCUUUCGACGGUAGUGUAUUGGACUACCGUGGCUUUUACGGGUAACGGAGGAUUAGGGUUCGAUUCCGGAGAGGGAGCCUGAGAAACGGCUACCACAUCUAAGGAAGGCAGCAGGCGCGUAAAUUACCCAAUUCUGAUUCAGAGAGGUAGUGACAAGAAAUAACGGGUCGGGACUUUGUCCCGGGACUGCAAUGAGAUGAACUUAUACCCCUUUUCGAGUAACAAUUGGAGGGCAAGUCUGGUGCCAGCAGCCGCGGUAAUUCCAGCUCCAAUAGCGUAUAUUAAAGUUGUUGCAGUUAAAAGCUCGUAGU
rnacentral:rRNA from 1 species